AUUGAACGCUGGCGGCAGGCCUAACACAUGCAAGUCGAACGGUAACAGGAAGCAGCUUGCUGCUUCGCUGACGAGUGGCGGACGGGUGAGUAAUGUCUGGGAAGCUGCCUGAUGGAGGGGGAUAACUACUGGAAGCGGUAGCUAAUACCGCAUAAUGUCGCAAGACCAAAGAGGGGGACCUUCGGGCCUCUUGCCAUCGGAUGUGCCCAGAUGGGAUUAGCUUGUUGGUGGGGUAACGGCUCACCAAGGCGACGAUCCCUAGCUGGUCUGAGAGGAUGACCAGCCACACUGGAACUGAGACACGGUCCAGACUCCUACGGGAGGCAUCAGUGGGGAAUAUUGCACAAUGGGCGCAAGCCUGAUGCAGCCAUGCCGCGUGUAUGAAGAAGGCCCUCGGGUUGUAAAGUACUUUCAGCGGGGAGGAAGGGAGUAAAGUUAAUACCUUUGCUCAUUGACGUUACCCGCAGAAGAAGCACCGGCUAACUCCGUG
rnacentral:rRNA from 1 species